UCUAUUUUUUAUUUCAACCCAUACAUCUAAAUUUUCAAUAUUUUAUAAAAUGACAUUAUUUUACAGCACCCUUCCUCUUCUUUCUCACCCAAAUUGGCAACGAAUGUCACUUCUUCCUCACAAAUUGAACAACAGAUGCCCAUACAUUAUCAGCCAUCGCAUCAAACAAUCCACCAUGCAUGUCACCGUCGACACGCACCGACGCACGCUUGCACCACAUCCCCACCUCUCUCUAUCUCUCCACUGCCUCUCCCUUACCCUUCCAAGAAUAUUGUUAGAUUUGAGUUUUCUACUGCAACCUGUUAGUAGAGAAAGCAGAGAACAAAAUUUAAUGUCGUAUAUUAGUAGGAAAACCGAAGGUAGAACUUGCAUAUACAAAGGAAAUAGAUACAUGGUGAAGGUUGAGCUGAUAGGCUUAGCUAAGGCAACUACUCUAUGGGCCACGGUUCUUUUGGCAGCUUAAAAAAUAAGCCGCCUUUUCCCCGGCUUAUCUCACAAGCCGCCUCUCUUAUUCAUUGAGGCUUCUAAAUUAGUUAUGGGAUAACUAAUUUAAAAGUCUCAACAAAUUUCAUGAGCGGCUUAUUUUUUAAGCUGGGAGAGACAACUUAUUUUUUAAGCCGGCCAAAAGAUUUGGGCCUAUGAAUGGGUACCCACCUCAAUAGAUACAACUACAUUAAACCAGUAAUCACAUUUCAGGGCCUCUAAAAGUGCCCGGAGAUGGGUUUUAAAGUUGGACAAUAAAAUUGUUCUUACACCAGCCUUACGCAAUGCUUCAAACAUACAUUUAGAAUCAGGGUAAAUGAGCUGCCAUCAAACAGGUGCUCAGGAUCUCUGGUUCAGUUAGCAAAUGAGUUGGUUCACCUUAGAAUAUAAAUGUUUUAGUACUCUUCUAUUUCUAAGUACAAUUUUCUUUUUGCAUAAGGUAGUGUUGAAUGAUUAUACCUUGAUAAAUCGGACUGCACAUAGUACUUUGUGGCUGACACUACGUAUUUUGCUUCAUUUUUUAGAUUAAUCAAAACUGGCAAAAAAUAGCGCACCAAGUUCUGUAACAGUAAACAUAAAAUGAACAAGAUCAUUGAUAACAUUCGGGUAAGAUCUGAAAUGGGUGAAUGAAGGAGCCACACUUAAAGGUGGCUCAUUUUGUUGCAGGAGGAGCCGUGGUAUUUUGGAAACCACCUUGCCAAUUUAUAAUCAAUCAUCAAAAAAUUACAGCCACCAAGAUAGCUUUGAAAGCAUGUUGGUUGAACACUGCAUUAAUGAUGUACUCGUUCAACCUUGAGCUAUUAUCCUUAAAUUAAUAUUUCCCUGCAUGAACCUUAUUCAACACUCACAAAACUAUGUCUACUCACUUUGUCAAGUAGGCACGCGAUGUAUAUUCUGCAGUCCAUUUG
rnacentral:lncRNA from 1 species